UACGAAGGGUGCAAGCGUUAAUCGGAAUUACUGGGCGUAAAGCGCGCGUAGGUGGUUCGUUAAGUUAGGAGUGAAAGCCCCGGGCUCAACCUGGGAAUUGCUUCUAAAACUGGCGAGCUAGAGUAUGGUAGAGGGUGGUGGAAUUUCCUGUGUAGCGGUGAAAUGCGUAGAGAUCAGGAGGAAUACCGGAGGCGAAGGCGGCCUGCUGGACAAAUACUGACGCUCAGGCACGAAGGCGUGGGGAUCAAACAGGAUUAGAUACCCCGGUAGUCCCUGAG
rnacentral:rRNA from 1 species